GGCUGAUCUGAGUGCAGUGGUGUUUGCAAAUAAUUGAUCACAACCAAGGUUCCUGUAAUAAAAUGUUCCAGUAUUCUGUCUCAACUCUCACUGUCUCAUUUGACUUGCCAAAA
rnacentral:Y_RNA from 1 species